rnacentral:rRNA from 1 species
GAUGAACGCUGGCGGCGUGCCUAAUACAUGCAAGUCGAGCGAACAGAUGAGGAGCUUGCUCCUCCGACGUUAUCGGCGGACGGGUGAGUAACACGUGGUUAACCUACCUAUAAGACUGGGAUAACUUCGGGAAACCGGAGCUAAUACCGGAUAAUAUAUUGAACCGCAUGGUUCAAUAGUGAAAGACGGUUUUGCUGUCACUUAUAGACGGAUCCGCGCCGCAUUAGCUAGUUGGUAAGGUAACGGCUUACCAAGGCAACGAUGCGUAGCCGACCUGAGCGGGUGAUCGGCCAGACUGGAACUGAGACACGGUCCAGACUCCGGCGGGGGGCAGCGGUAGGGAAUCUUCCGCGAUGGAGGAGAGCCUAACGGAGCAGAGCCGCGUAAGUGAUGAAGGUCUUCGGAUCGUAAAGCUCUGAUAGUAGGAGAGAACAAAAGUGUAAGUAACUAUGAACAUCUUGACAGUACCUAAACAGAAAGCCACGGCUAACUACGUG